GGGUCGUUAGCUCAGUUGGUAGAGCGCUUCGCUUACACCGAAGAUGUCGGCGGUUCGAGCCCGUCACGACCCA
rnacentral:tRNA from 1 species